AACCGACUAGCCCCGGGUCGUCCAGUCUUGCAAUACCAGUUUAUGUCUGAGGUGGCGACAGGGAGUAACAUACCGGCCAAACCGUCUUCAGUGCAGCCCAGAGCAGUCGAGAAAGAGACAACGCAAUUACGAACGCUCUGCUCCCACCCUCUCCCCCACGGAGUUCAAGUUCUUCAGUGAAGUGUACUGCGAGAAUGGCCGAAAGUUCUAGGAAGAGACCUCCAUCGCCUCCAGCUAAAAAAAACUCGAUCUGAGGCGAAAAGAAUAUCAGAUGGGAAGCAAGCAAAUACACGUUAAUCUAGGGAGUGCUUUCCACCGAUGGAGACAGCUUGGAUAGCAAGGAGAUGCAGUUCGAUUCUGAACUUGCGACAUUUCUUCUUGACUGGAUCAGAAUUCCAGUUCAGUCCUCCCCUAUGAAGGUGUAACGAUUACAUUGCUGUUGCCCAACAGAUUGGUGUGUCAACAGGUUGAAUUUCCUGCUGCAGAUCACCUCUUCAUUUCCUGUGGCUCAUCAACAUGAAGACUGACUCGUUAGCCCAACUUCUUGCUGUUGAAGACUGCUAAGGACUAUCCAUGUGCCCAGCUGCUUCCCUCCUGCCUCAUAUAGUCCAAAAGUUACAUUUCUAUUCAUGUUGUUGCACUUGGUAGAUGUAAAGUUUAUUCCUGUCUUGUAGUUUUAUAAUACCAAGAAUCAGGAUUGGUGAAACAUUGGUUGUGCCUGAAAGUGUUCUUUGAUCAAGAUUGGUAUACUAACAUCAUGCUUUUAUCUCCUGUUCCUGACUUCUUAGAAUCUAUUUGUUGUUAAAGAGUUGUUUAAACUAAUGUAAUUUCAAGUGGUAGCUUUGGCUCUUGACAUUUGUGCCCAUAGUUUUAAAUAUGAACUCAUAGCCUACAGGUGCAAAGGAAAAGAUGAACAUACCAUUUUAGUCAUAAUUCAGGUAUUCUUUAUGUUACAUGAAAUGUAGCCACUGUGCUCUUAGAAUGGGAAGUUUUAUUGUUAGUUGUAGAGGAUGAUUGUGUAAGGAAUAACGUUCUGUAAGGCGGUCAUUAUGGCGCUGGCCGUGGCCUGCCGAGUUUCACUUUCCUUGACAUUCUCUGGUUAUACUUAGCAACGGUCCGGUAUUAAAAAUUAUCAGACCGUAGGACGUUGGGAAGUCCCAUCGGAGUGAAUGGAGCAUUCUACAGCAUUAUAAAGAGCCGUGUAAUAAAUGGUAAUAAUAAUGACCUCUAAUAGUAAACAGAACGAUUGGCUAUAACCACUGACUACAUGGAGCAUUUUAGUUACUGGCUACGUAGCAAGAACACCUGUGUUGCUGCCAGACUCUCACGGUGACUGUUCUCCAAACGCCUCUGCUGGUCAGCGCGCUCUCUGGCUGCUCUGACAGCCCGAGCCGUCCCUGUACUGUUCUCUCCAGGUCUGGGACUGACACUAGACACCCAGGCCUUUUCUUCUUUGCCUGGCCCUUACGUUUGCCCACUCUUGUCUGACUCGAUGCAGGGGGGGAUGUAAUCUUCGUCGUCAGUCUCCACCCGAAAAAAAUACCUUAUUACUAUUUUCAGUUUUAUCCAUCCAUACAAUCGCUACUACACGCAGGCUAGGCCUAGCCUUUGCUAAGACUAGCUUGCCAAAUGCCGCUAGCAAAUUUGUAUUUAUUUCUCAAAUGUCUCAUUACCAACAAUACCAGUGUGAAAAGCAAAACGUUAAUAAAAACUGUUAUAUGUAGUGAUCGGGUAAGGGUGAGCCGCUUGAAGAAGACAUUUUCCGGAUUUAGGAGUUUUUUUUUUCUAGGCGGCGACCAUAGACACAGAGACAUUCUCUGAUA